UUACGGCCACAUCACGUUGAAACACAAAUUCCUGUACGAUCAUUGAAGUUAAGCAACGUCGAACCAGGCCAGUAACUAGAUGCGUGACCGCUUGGGAAAAACAGGUGCUGUAAG